CAGAGUUCAUGCCCUAAAGGGUAGACCUCCCACCCUUGUGUAUUUAUACUAUGUUGCUUUGGCGGGUUGCAUUUCUAAAAUGCUUCAGGGCUUGCUCGCCCGCCGAAGGAUACCUAAACUCUGUUUAUUAGUGUCGUCUGAGUACUAUAUAAUAGUUAA
rnacentral:rRNA from 1 species